rnacentral:rRNA from 1 species
AGGACGAACGCUGGCGGCGUGCUUAACACAUGCAAGUCGAGCGAGGCCCUUCCUUCGGGAAGGUGCCCUAGCGGCGAACGGGUGAGUAACACGUGGGCAACCUGCCCCUAGCACUGGGAUAACUCCGGGAAACCGGGGCUAAUACCGGAUAUGACCUUUGAGGGCAUCCUCGAAGGUGUAAAGGAUUCUGGCUAGGGAUGGGCCCGCGGCCUAUCAGCUUGUUGGUGGGGUAAUGGCCUACCAAGGCGACGACGGGU